rnacentral:ncRNA from 1 species
GAUAACAUGUUGAUGACUCCUAAGGGCUCUCACUCAAUGAGUCGUUUGGCACCUCGAUGAAAUAAUCUCUACGAUGAUGAAAGUGGUAUGUGAGUUGGGUUUAGAAUGUCGUGAGACAGUUU